GUUCCCAUUCCGAACACAGAAGUUAAGCCCACCAGCGCCGAUGGUACUACGAAAGUGGGAGAGUAGGUCGCCGCCAGUU
rnacentral:rRNA from 1 species